AUUGAACGCUGGCGGCAGGCCUAACACAUGCAAGUCGAGCGGAUGAAGGGAGCUUGCUCCUGGAUUCAGCGGCGGACGGGUGAGUAAUGCCUAGGAAUCUGCCUGGUAGUGGGGGAUAACGUCCGGAAACGGGCGCUAAUACCGCAUACGUCCUGAGGGAGAAAGUGGGGGAUCUUCGGACCUCACGCUCUCAGAUGAGCCUAGGUCGGAUUAGCUAGUUGGUGGGGUAAAGGCUUACCAAGGCGACGAUCCGUAACUGGUCUGAGAGGAUGAUCAGUCACCCUGGAACUGAGACACGGUCCAGACUCCUACGGGAGGCAGCAGUGGGGAAUAUUGGACAAUGGGCGAAAGCCUGAUCCAGCCAUGCCGCGUGUGUGAAGAAGGUCUUCGGAUUGGAAAGCACUUUAAGUUGGGAGGAAGGGCAGUAAGUUAAUACCUUGCUGUUUUGACGUUACCAACAGAAUAAGCACCGGCUAACUUCGUG
rnacentral:rRNA from 1 species